rnacentral:rRNA from 1 species
CAGCCGCCACGGUAAUACGUAGGGUGCGAGCGUUAAUCGGAAUUACUGGGCGUAAAGCGUGCGCAGGCGGUUUUGUAAGACAGGCGUGAAAUCCCCGGGCUCAACCUGGGAAUGGCGCUUGUGACUGCAAAGCUAGAGUGCGGCAGAGGGGGGUGGAAUUCCGCGUGUAGCAGUGAAAUGCGUAGAUAUGCGGAGGAACACCGAUGGCGAAGGCAAUCCCCUGGGCCUGCACUGACGCUCAUGCACGAAAGCGUGGGGAGCAAACAGGAUUAGAUACCCCUGUAGUCCCUGUCUCUUAUAC